rnacentral:rRNA from 1 species
UACGGAGGGUGCAAGCGUUAUCCGGAUUCACUGGGUUUAAAGGGUGCGUAGGUGGAUUUAUAAGUACCUUGUGAAAUCCCACGGCUUAACCGUGGAACUGCUUGGUAUACUGGUUGUCUUGGGCCAUCUAGGGGCUACCGGAACAAACGGUGGAGCGGUGAAAUGCGUAGAUAUCGUUUGGAACGCCAAUGGUGAAAACAGGUAGCUGGGGAUGUGCCGACGCUGAGACACGAAAGCCAGGGGAGCGAACGGG